CCCUUAGAUGUUCUGGGCCGCACGCGCGCUACACUGACGAAUGCAACGAGCUUAUAACCUUGGCCGAAAGGUCUGGGUAAUCUCCAAAUUUCGUCGUGAUGGGGAUAGAUUAUUGCAAUUAUUAAUCUUCAACGAGGAGUGCCUAGUAAGCGCAAGUCAUCAGCUUGCGUUGAUUACGUCCCUGCCCUUUGUACACACCGCCCGUCGCUCCUACCGAUUGAAUGGUCCGGUGAAGCGCUCGGACCGCGGCCUCUUGACGGUUUUCCGUCGAUUGGCUGUGGGAAGUUCGUUAAACCUUAUCAUUUAGAGGAAGGAGAAGUCGUAACA
rnacentral:rRNA from 1 species